AGGAUUAUAGUUAAUUAUAACAUUUAUUUUGCAUAUAAAAAGUAUUGAUUUUAUCAAUUUAUCUU
rnacentral:tRNA from 1 species